AAGCCCUGGCGCGCCCAUUCUCUCUCUCUUCCUCUAUCUGUCUUUCUCUCUGUGUCUGUCGCUCUCAAAUAAAUAAAUAAAAACUUAAAAAAAAAAAGAAGUCCAAGAUGUACACGUGAAAAGACAAGGAGCAGCUGCAUGCCACCCGAGGCUCUGGGCGACGUGACUGCAUCAUGACGACAGCGUGAAAGAGGGCUGAGAAAACGGCUGUGGUCUAAAGCCAGCCAAGGUCAGGAGGUUAUGAAACAAAAGGCCACUAUCGUCUCCAGUUUCCUCCCACUGGCAGCCUGUGGAGUGCCUACCCCCUUCAAACACACAUGGGCCAACUGUGGUCAACCUUCAUGGGACCAGGAUUUACACUGUGGUCACCCACGCAGAGCCAAGAUCCCCACUGUGUGGACUAGAAAUUCUUGAUUGCACAGGGAAUGUUUCACCAAUUCUCACCUCUGCCUUAAUUCACUGUGUAAGAAGGAAAUGAGCUACCAUUUGUAGCCAAGACCAACUCGGCACCCAGUAUUGAAAACAGUCAUCAGUAUUAUCUUAGUUCCUUACAACUCACUGGGACUUUAAACUUCAUUUUUGUUAUUUGAAGUUGAGAAUAUUUCUAGUCCUUAUUUUAAAAAUCACCUUAGGAUGAUGUUAUUUGUAACUGUAAACAUCUGCGUAUGUACUGCUGGGCUUCUCAAGUAACCAGGUUUUCACAUCAGCCCAGCCCUGGGUUUGCAAAAUUUCAUCUUGCAGGCCUUACUUAAAUCCCGAUACUCUUUCAAUCAGCGUUCACUCUGUCCAUGGUGUUCUCCGACAUGUACCAAAAUGCAGCGGGAGGCAUCAGAUGGCACUGAGACUGAGCCUGGGUCCCAGACCUUGACACUAAACAGUGAAUGCACUGCCCUUGCAGACUCACCCAGUGCUGUAACAGCCUCCAUUCUAAUACACAAAGCUCAAGGACUCCAGGGACGGAAACACACUUCCAACACCAGUUCUGGCUGCUGUGGUAAGAAUGAAGUGCAGCCUCUGCUCUACCCUCCUCCCCAUGCCAUCACGAAGCUGCCUUGAGAGUGUAAGCCAAAGUGAGCCCUUUCCUCCUGUCUGCUGCUUUGGUCGGUGCUUUGUCCGAGCAAUGUGAAGGUCAGUACACAACCAUCUCAAAAAAUGAAAAGCUGCUUCUUACAACCCAAGCUCCUGGAGGUCCUGUGUACCCUUUUUCCACAGUAGAUACUGACUGUAAAGCAACCAAGGAUGCUCCCUUUAGCAGUACAUACACUUAAAUUUGCUUUUGGCAAUUAUUUGGGGGGGGGGUCUAUGUGUAGUAUGCAUAUGUUUGUGUGGUAUGUUUGGCAGUCACUCUUCAUCUCGAGACAUCUCACCAAUUUAGCUAAACUGGCUAGCUAACAAGUCCUUGGGCCCUCCUGGGUCUCUUGCCCCAGCACCUAGAGCACAGGCAUGGGCUAUGGCACCCAGCUUUUCCAGGCCACUGGGAAUCUGGUCUCACUGCUGUGGUGAAUGAGGAAUCGGGAGCUGACAGGAAAAUGCAGCUUUCUUCUGCUUCAGCCACUUGUCGUGCACCCUUGCUGCUACGUGAGACACGCUUGCUGCUGCCCGAGUUAAAGCAGGCCCACUGCUGCAGGUGCCUUCCCACCACCAGGACAGAGCUCCUGGCCCAGAGCACUGACGCAAGGAAGUUCUUUGGUUGGAGAAGGAUGGUGGAGACUGGACCUAACCUCUGCCCCAGCAAUAGCUGAGCUACUUCUAAGUGCGUCCCCACAACACACUUGCUCCAGCAUGACUCCACAUCCCAACUAGCAACAGCUGGGAACCACCCACUCAGAACCCAUGAGUUUAUGGGGGACAUCUGACUCAAACCACAACAGCUGAGAGCUUCCUGUGACUCUAAGGGAGGUGCGUGUGUGCACUUUUGGUGCCUGGGCACCCUGGACUCAGCUUCCUCAUCUGCGCAUACUGACUGCUUGGACAGGGACAGGGCUCACUCUCCCCAGUGACGAGGCUUUGGCUAGCAGUAAUUGCUCGGCUAUCCUUCUCAGGCUCACGAGACACCUUCACAGAUUUGAUUCACUGACUGGCUUUCAGCAGGGACCUUUCCAUCUGCCAUGUCUAUUGUUAGGUCCCUGCCGCUCUGGGUCUUGGGCCUGGCCAGCCUUCUUCUUCUGGCAGGCUGGGGACUCCCCACGGUGUGAAAAAGAAGAAGAAUCAAACAAACACAAUCUGAUCAUGGCUCACUCCAGAGAGAGGGCCAGGACAGACGCCUAGCAGGGUCACAGUUGUUAUGCUGUCUUGGUAGUUGGGAUAAUGCAUCAAGCACAAGGAACUGCUAAACUUAGUGGAACAAUCAUGGUUCUUUAACCAACCUGAAGUCUAAUUCAGGCAGCUUCUUGUUACAACACGCCCGUGAGAGCCAUGGGGUGGCCCCAUUCCCAGUGGAGCUGGCUUAGCCAUGGUCCUGGGUGCAGCUUGGCAGGACGAGAGUUAAGGAUGACGGGGAGCUCUGGCCCUGCCAAGUACCCGGUGUCUUCCAGCCUCUUCCACCACCAUCCACCCCUCAUAAAAGGUCUGUGUGCUUCAAAGGUAGAGGGGGAGGAUGGCAGUGCAGCCAUGAGCACUCUGAACAGGUGGGCAGGCGCUCUCCAGAAGAGCCAGUGCUCCAGAUCACCACCAUCCCUUCAGACACACAUACUCAGACCCAAAGAGUGAAUAGUUAAGUCCUUUACUGCCAUGACGUCACAGCAUCAGCAUUUGUACACUGCACGGAAAGACACUUCUUCAACACUGGAAGUCACGCUGCAGGUGUGGGGACAGCUACUGUAUGUCUUGUCACUAAAGAACAAGGCAAGAAUUCUGAGCACUUAAUUGCUUGGCAUUAUAAAGUUUUGUUCUCUCCAGUUUUUAGUAAGCAAAUCCCAACUGAUAAUACACACAUUAUUUCAGAUUACUGGAGAUAAACUCAUUAUUGGAAAUUAUUUAACUAGUGGCACAUUUUAUGAAAAGAAAUAAAAUAUUGAGCACUUGUAUAUAAGGCUUCAGAGAGUUGGUUUGGGGAGUCUUGGCUAUCUCUGGACAGAUGGUAGGGUGGGUAAACAUGCCGUGCCUCCUCAGCAAGACCAUAUGCUGAUGGGGUGUGUGACGCCGUAGCAGUGGCAGGAUGGUGGGUUCUCACCACUGCUAUGCAGAUGCCUGCUUGCUCCUCCUGGAAGUAAUCAGAGACAGACAAUGAGGAGCAGAUCCCACUGCCAACUGCAGAGGCUCAGUGUGCUUUUAGAGGACACCUGUAUGUAACACGUCUGUAACACUGGUUAGCGUCCAGGUUAAUAAGUCAGCGUUCCCAGACUCACCCCAGCUCCCCACUACCUCUGACCAAGACCUUAACUUCACCCACACCAAUUCCUCCAAACAAAUCCACCAAGGUGUGCUUACUGGAAGUUGAUAAGCCGUCCUCCCUGAAUGAGCUGGGCCACUUCAUUUGUUGCGUGGCACGCAAACAGAAGCCAGUUUCGAGGCUGCACUUUGUAAGCAAACCUCAUGAACGUCAAAGAGUAGCAACAGAGGGCUGGAAAACAUCAAAGCAAAGGACGUGAGAACCUAGGGAACAGGCUAAAGGAACCACGAGGUCAAGGGUCACCACUGGUCGAAACGAGCCUGCCGAGCCUUGGCGGAUAGCAAACACUGCUGCUCACACACCUGAGAAGAGCACGCACGGCAGCUCUGUGUACUACCUGCAUGCUGCUUGUUUCUUAUGAAAACACUGCAGAGCAGAUUGUUAGCAAGAACAGUCAGCACCAGUUCUUGCCUGUCCCGCUGCCUGCUAGCACUGCUUCCAAGCCAUCCCUGAAGGAACUGCUACACCCUGAGACUUCCCGUCAACUUCAGCACAGCUUGAGUUUAUAGUCCAGACCUGCUGGGCUGGCUGCCAGGAGGACUAAGAUGACACUCCCUCGAAGUGGACCUAGCAAGUAGGUGCUACUCUCACUUCUGCUCUGCCUUCUGGAGGUGGCACAUUCAGUGCCUUUCUAAUGGGCAUAUCUGGUGCCACAAAACUGAGACGUGUGCAGGAGCCACAUAAUGUGUACCCUCCUCCCUUGCCCAGUGCGCACUCUUACCAAACGUCAUCCGCCCACUGAUGAUCUCUGGAGACUUCUUCAUGUCGUUGAUGGCAGCAACAGGGAGACCCCAGUUGGCAACUGGACCCCAGAAGUGCUACAAAACAAUGAAAGGAGGAGAAGCAGGAAGGAGAGGAAAGUGAGGUGGACCCAAGAUCAGCUGCAUUUCCCUCCCAUGAAACACCAGAGAAUGUGGAGAGAAUCCGGUUCUCUAGGUACACUGCAGAGGGUUAGCACUAGGGACUGAGGUUCCCUUGUUGUCUCAGGAGCCAGCAAUUCUUAUUGGGGAGCUGAAUGCUACCAAGGAUUUGGCUGCUUGCAAAGGUCCCUACCAAGUCCCACAUUAUAACUCAGAGAAUUAAGAAUGAGACCUUCUUAUACAGUCUAUUCUUGGAUCAAGUAAACAUUGAUGGAACUACUGUUUGUGGUAUGUUUCAGUUUAUAAAUUCUUUUUUUUUUGCAAGUUUUCAUUAUCUUGUAACAACUUGAAAUGCAGACCUGAAACUGGAUACUUUUUUGAGGAAAAAGUCUUAGUAAGGAAGAGAAUUUUUCAACUCACAUUAACUACUGACUAAGAACUUAGAAACCUAUACUCCGAGUCCCAGAUACCAGGAAGUUAAGACUGGAAAGUAACUUUGAAGUAAUAGCAAAAACUGAGAGCUGUCUGUUUAACAAUGACAAUGUCCAAUUUAACUUAAUUUCUUAAGUUAACAUGAAUUAAGCUGGUGGCUUUUGCCAAUUAAACUGAAAUUGUUCGUAUAAAGUUUGUAAAUGUUUUAAAAUCUGGAAAAGAUCACGUACUGUGGCUGUAUGUCCCUUAGUCAUCGGAAGCCACCAAUGGACUUCUGUCUGCCAGCACUUAAGACAAAUGUGCAUUUUGGGUAAAUUUAUAAACCUUGCUUUCCUAUUGUUGACUAGGGUCAUUAAAAUCUAAAAAUCACAAUAAGCCAGAAGCCAAGGGAAAAUAAACAAGGAUUACAUUUAGCAUGAUUUAAGAAUACUUUGAAAUGUUUACUUAGCACACUUUAAUGUAAGCCCUCAGGCGUGUGGUUUAUAUAACUCUGCCAACAUUAACAUCCCGCUAGCACGUAAGAACUUCGCAGUUUAACAGGCUCUGUUGGUUUAGGGAACCAAAGAUUCUUGCAUUACCACUGUACUGCUUGAGUAAGCUCCUCACUGCACAAGCCUUCCUUUCUUGUAUCCGGUGAGACAGGGCCACUUUCCCCUUCCAUAGACCUCUGUAAGGAUAAGUACUUCCUUUUCCUACCCAUACUUUAAAUGGGUGCCACUGCAUUUCUCACCUUUCUGCUGGUCCAUGGUAAUCUUCCUUUGUCUCCUUCCACCCUGCCUGGUCUAGUCUCAUCCCCCCCCCCGCCCCCCCCCGCCAAUGUAAUCUGUCUGCUGCUCUGCACUGCGUGGCUGUCCUGAUGUCUACUCGAGAAUAUUCUGCCAGGGGCUCACCAAUCCUGACUGACUGCCACCAGGUCACACUGCCCUGCCCAAAGCAGGGGCAGGAAGCAGCACAGAAUUGAAACCUGCAGGAGCCCUGGGGGAUUUCUAGUGAUAGUGAUGAAAUGUUUGAUUGCAUGACAGUUCUGCAAGCUAAGAACUGUUCACAGCUCUGUGUGGCUGUAAGCAUUACGCUACACUUAAAUAUACUCCUUGGAAACACAAAGGGUGUUGGGCGGGAGGUGCAUCGUCUAAUGCCAGCACUCAGGAAGUCAAGGCAGGAGGACAAUGAGUCCAAAGUCAGCCUGGGCUACACAGUAAAUCUGUUUCAAACAAAAAGGGCAGAAAUCCCUCCAACCCGGAAACUUUAUAAUGCAUACUUGCUCUAAGGUGCACAAUUUUGAUUCUGUCUUCCCUUUUUUGGAAUCUGAUCUAUGCUGACAGAAAUUCUAGAAUAAGUAAUUUCAUGAUUAAUAUCUGAAAGGAGAAAAUCAUCCUAUUUUGGAUUAAAUGGGAAAGGAACUUAUUAAUUGUGGCUAUAAGUUGAAACAAAACUGAGCAGCACUGUGUGAGAUCUAUAUCUAUGUUGGAAAGCAGGCCAUGGAAAAGAGCUCUGUGCCGCAGGAGGACCAUGGCCUCUGCUUCCCCCUUGCUCCCUCCCUCCUUCCCUUUUCCUGAGUGCUGUCAGUGAAGCCACUGCAGGUACCUUUUUAGCCACAGGAGAGAGCUGUGGUCCCACACUGGGUCCUCACCGAGGCAGGGCACAGGAACAUCUCACUCACCUACAGCUCACCCUCUAGCAGGCAGUUACACAGCCUCCCCACAAGCAUAAGUCACCAUGUGACUUCACCCACAUGCACCCUCCAAGCAGGAGGGCUAGACAGGGUCUCCAAGCCAAGGAUGCCCUGUCUGUCCUUUCACUGUUACAGGAAAGGCUGCAGGAACCCAGAAUGGAUACAAGCUUCUUACCGUACUAUUUUGUGAGGAGUCACCAUGUUCAGACAGGAGACAUAGAGGGAACAAGAUGAAACAAAACAUCAGAUGCUUUCUCACAGUGCCAUCGUUAGUUCAAAUUCACAUGCUUCCAAGUUUUACCACAGAGCAAGCAACAAAUACUUUCUUCCUUUCUGUCUGAAAAUAUCAAGUACCAUAUCUAAUAAUAGCUCUGACCUAACCAAAUCACGUCUAGAGUAUGAGAAAUAAGCUUCAUCUUCACAGUGGAGCUGACCAAUAGAAACAAAUGCAAGUAAAACUCUCAACCAAUGUUAUUCUAAAACUUUCUGUAAGUAGAAUUUAAAUUAUCCUAACAUGUUAAAAUAUUUUAUUUUGAACGUAUCAAUAAAUAUUAGAUAUUUUACAUUC